rnacentral:lncRNA from 1 species
CAGGGGUUUGAGCUUGCUAUGGCGUGUGGCCUCUGAAGAGAACACACAUCCCACCCAACAGAGAAAGAUACACAGGCUGCCCUUGGAGGUGUUUACCAGAGACAUGGCAGGUUGACACCGUGGACUCAGAAGAACACUGCAUCCCUCCUCUCAGUACUCAUGGCCGAGAACAGUCCAUCUGGACACACCUUAGGUUCCUGUUUGUUUGGCACAUAAUAACUUUCAUUUGGAUCAAAAUCCAGGAGAAAAGAAAAUAUCUGCAUCAAAAUAUCUAACAGAGGGCUGGUGAGAGGGCUCAGUGGGUAAAGGUACUUACUAACAACGUAAGCUCCAUCCAUGGGGCCCUCGUGGCAGAGGGAGAGAACUGAUCCUACAAGUUGUCCUCUGUUCUUUUUUUUUUUUUUUUUUUUUUUUUUUGGUUUUUCGAGACAGGGUUUCUCUGUGGCUUUGGAGGCUGUCCUGGAACUAGCUCUUGUAGACCAGGCUGGUCUCAAACUCACAGAGAUCCUCCUGCCUCUGCCUCCUGAGUGCUGGGACUAAAGGUGUGCGCCACCAAUGCCCGGCUUGUCCUCCAUUCUAAUUGCCUAUAUGCUUGCUGUAGCACCUGCACACAUUAACAAAAGUAAAUCAUAUUUUAAAUAAAUCAGCAUUUUUUAAAGAUAGAGGAUGAUGUUAUAAAUAAAAAGACCUCUAUCUGAGUGUCGUGGCACAUGCCUUUAAUCUUAACACUAGGGAGGCAGAGGCAGGCAUAUCUCUGACCCAAGGCCAGGCUGCUCUACAUAGAGAGUUCCAUAGAGAGAUACUGUGCCUUAAUUAGAAUUUCUAUUGCUGUGAUGAAACACUGUGACCUAAAGCAACUUUGGGAGGAAAAGGUUUGUUUUACUUACACUUCCACAUCACUAUCAUUAAAGGAAGUCAGGACGGGAGCUCAAAAAGAGGCAGGAGCUGAUGCAGAGGCCAUAGAGGGGAGCUGCUUACUGGCUUGCUCCUCAUGGCCUGCUCAGACUGCUUUUUUAUAGAGCCCAGGACUACCAGCACGAAGGUGGCACCACCAGCCAUGGGCUGGGCCCUCCCCCAUCAGUCACUGACACAGGCUUACUUGCCACUGUGUCUGUGGAGGCAUUUUCUCAAUUGAUGCUUCCUCUUCUCAGAUGCCUUUAGCUUAUAGCAAAUAAAACUAGCCAGCACACCUGCAAUGCUCCCUGAAAACCCUCUAAGUUCAUUCUUCCCUGUGGUGGGUUCUGUUGUGUUCUGUUGUCUUUUGUCUCUAGACAGUGCCUCACUGUGUAACUGGCUAACCUGAGACUCACUAUGUAGAGGCUGGCCUCUAACUCACAGAGAUCCAACUGCCUCUGCGUCCAAAGCACUGGGAAAAUAAAAGUAUGCCAUAGCUAAUGAUAUCAUAAAGGGAUGUUUUUAAAAGAAGUAUUGCUAGACAGAUGAACAGUGACCCACUGAACAGUUUUCAGUGCAGCCCAGGAGAGUGGUGUCUUAGCUCCAGUGGCCUCCUAAACAAAAGCUUCCUCUUUUGCAAUGGGUAAGAGAAAUAGAACAAAGGAGCUCUCAGGUUUGGACACAUAUUUCAAACUAGAUUGAUAGGAGGGGAAGAGCCAAAAAGGCCAGAGGUCCCUUAAUUCCAGGUAAAGAAGUCUCCAGUAAGUUCCUCUCCUCACCAACCAAUGCUGUCAGAGAUACACAGGAAGCCUUAGGUUCAUUUCUGUUGGUGUUGGCAUGUAUUUAUAGCCCCAGCACUGGAGAGGUGAAAACAGUCCCAGGCCUGUCUCCAAAACCUUCAGUGAGCAGCCCCUAAAGAGUAACUCUCAAGGUUGUCCUCUGGUCUCCAUGUGAACCUGCACACAUACACAUACAUACAUACACACACAUAUAUUUAUGUAUACAUAUAUAUACAUAAACACAUAUAUGUAUAUACAUACACACAUGCAUACAUACAUACAUACAUACAUACAUACAUACAUACAUACAUACACACAUACACACAUAAAACAAUCCUAUUACCAUUCAAAUUCUACCCUAGUGGAAACCUCACCUCUUCCCUGGAGUGUCAGUCCCAUUUCCCCAGUCUUACAGUUCUCUUGCCCUGAACACUGCCACUGAGAUCCUCUAGGGUGGCUCAACCCUCAGUCAGGCUAUUCGAAUCUCACUUUAAAUUCAGAUUCACGUAGGGCAUCUAAAGAAUGACCUCAAAAAGCAAGAGCCAGGCAGUGGGAAGUGGAGGAAUUGUGUAUGGCUGAAGAGGUCACUGCUGUGGACAGUGAUCUCAGCCCUGCUGGAACCCUGCCUUAGACGGGAAGCUGCACCCUCAUCCACAGGCCCCAUGCCCCGAAGCCCAUGAUUUCUCCUGUGCUUUUGGACAGAGUGUAUGUUCAAGUCCUGGCAGCUCUUCAGUUUGAGGAGAGCUUGGAAGCUGUGGGCUUCUUUGGAGCAUCCAUAGAAGUCUCCCACUGUGUUUCUGUGGGAGGGAUAAGCCACCUGCUGCACACACACACACACACACACACACACACACACUCACACACACACACCACAUAC